GGGAGCUCGGUACCUCUAUCUAUGGGCAAACACAGAGGAUACGAUGCAUGUUUAAUUGUGAUAUGUUGUGGACACGAGAGGCUUUGGGAAACAAGUUAUUAAACUUCACGAGAGAUGCAUCUCGUUCUUAUCAUCUGUGUCAUGAUGUAAGAAUUUUAACACGGCUUAUGUGUCAAAUUCUGUGUUCGGUUUAUGAGUCUCAUGGCAUGCUUCGCAAUUGACAUGAGAUGGAUUAACCUGGCCUAUAGAUCACUUUCAGCAAACCCUGUUGCAUUUGAUUGCUUCCUAUAGAUAAGUUGCAACAUCAUGUAUUCAUAUUGGUGCUUGUGGCAUAAAUUGUUUCAUUAGCUAGUAUAGUU
rnacentral:lncRNA from 1 species